CUUUGGCAAGUAUGAUGAAUCAAUUAGAUGUGUGAAAGGAGAAUUCCUUCUUGAACUCAAUUUUUUGAGGCAUUUGAAUUGUCUGACUUGCCUAUG